CUUUAUGAUGAUUCCCAAGUUUUAAGCAUAGUUCAACUGAAGGUCUCCGGAUAUUGAACGACAAACCUUACCAUCUUUCAUCCUUUCUGAAC
rnacentral:snoRNA from 15 species